GACGAACGCUGGCGGCGUGCUUAACACAUGCAAGUCGAACGGUGAAGCUCCAGCUUGCUGGAGUGGAUCAGUGGCGAACGGGUGAGUAACACGUGAGCAACCUGCCCCUGACUCUGGAAUAAGCGCUGGAAACGGCGUCUAAUACUGGAUACGAGAAGGGUCCGCAUGGGCACUUUCUGGAAAGUUUUUCUGUUGGGGAUGGGCUCGCGGCCUAUCAGCUUGUUGGUGAGGUAAUGGCUCACCAAGGCGACGACGGGUAGCCGGCCUGAGAGGGCGACCGGCCACACUGGGACUGAGACACGGCCCAGACUCCUACGGGAGGCAGCAGUGGGGAAUAUUGCACAAUGGGCGAAAGCCUGAUGCAGCGACGCCGCGUGAGGGAUGACGGCCUUCGGGUUGUAAACCUCUUUCAGCAGGGAAGAAGCGAAAGUGACGGUACCUGCAGAAGAAGCACCGGCUAACUACGUG
rnacentral:rRNA from 1 species